rnacentral:misc_RNA from 1 species
UCGAAUGAAACUAGAGUUUGGUUGUCGCUGGCCCCUCCACUGGGGCAUGUGCACGCCUUCUCUAUUCAUCCACACACACCUGUGAACUUGUGAGACGGAUAGUAGUCCUUUCGGGGGCGAGGUCCGUCUGCUAUACAUAAACUCCAAUAAUAUAAAUCUGAAUGUAAUCUGAUGUAACGCAUCUUUGAAC